AUUGAACGCUGGCGGCAGGCCUAACACAUGCAAGUCGAACGAGUGGCGGACUGGUGAGUAAUGUCUGGGAAACUGCCUGAUGGAGGGGGAUAAAUACUGUAAACGGUAGCUAAUACCGCAUACCAUCGGAUGUGCCCAGAUUGGAUUAGCUAGUUGGUGGGGUAACGGCUCACAUAGGCGACGAUCCCUAGCUGGUCUGAGAGGAUGACCAGCAACACGGGAACGGAGACACGGUCCAGACUCCUACGGGAGGCAGAAGUGGGGAAUAGUGCACAAGGGACGAAAGCCUGAGGCAGCCAUGCCGCGUGUAUGAAGAAGGCCUUCGGGUUGUAAAGUACUUUCAGCGGGGAGGCGUGACUCGAAGAAGAAGCACCGGCUAACUCCGUGCCAGCAGCCGCGGUAAUUC
rnacentral:rRNA from 1 species